UUCUUUAAGUUUUUACUUUAAAGUAAAACCUGCUCCAUGUUCAAUAUAAAUAGCCGCAGAACUCUGUGCUAAGGUAGCAUAAUCAUUAGCUUUCUAAUUAAAAGAUAGAAUGAAUGGUUAAACGAAAUAUAAACUGUUUCUAUUAUUUUUAAUUAAUUUAAAUUAAAAGUUAAAAUUCUUUUUUUUAAAAGAAAGACGAUAAGACCCUAUAAACUUAAAAUAAUUAGCUGGGGCGGCUGUAUAAAUAAACCUUAAUAUUUUUAAUAAAACUAAACAAACAAAGACUAUAUAGAAUAGUUACUUUAGGGAUAACAGCGCUACUUUUUUUAAAAGUUCUUAUAUAAAAAAAUCCUACGACCUCGAUGUUGAAUUAUACCCCUUUAAUGAAGCAAAAAUUAUAACAGGUAGUCUGUUCGACUAUWAAAUACAU
rnacentral:rRNA from 1 species